rnacentral:rRNA from 1 species
AUGAACGCUGGCGGCGUGCCUAAUACAUGCAAGUCGAGCGAACAGACGAGGAGCUUGCUCCUCUGACGUUAGCGGCGGACGGGUGAGUAACACGUGGAUAACCUACCUAUAAGACUGGGAUAACUUCGGGAAACCGGAGCUAAUACCGGAUAAUAUAUUGAACCGCAUGGUUCAAUAGUGAAAGACGGUUUUGCUGUCACUUAUAGAUGGAUCCGCGCCGCAUUAGCUAGUUGGUAAGGUAACGGCUUACCAAGGCAACGAUGCGUAGCCGACCUGAGAGGGUGAUCGGCCACACUGGAACUGAGACACGGUCCAGACUCCUACGGGAGGCAGCAGUAGGGAAUCAUCCGCAAUGGGCGAAAGCCUGACGGAGCAACGCCGCGUGAGUGAUGAAGGUCUUCGGAUCGUAAAACUCUGUUAUUAGGGAAGAACAAAUGUGUAAGUAACUAUGCACGUCUUGACGGUACCUAAUCAGAAAGCCACGGCUA